rnacentral:rRNA from 1 species
GCUUAGAGUUUGAUCCUGGCUCAGAAUGAACGCUGGCGGCAUGGCUAAAACAUGCAAGUCGAACGCGAAAGUCACUUCGGUGGCGAGUAGAGUGGCGAAAGGGCGAGGAAUCCGUUCCUACGUACCCCGAGGUCCGGGAUAGCCCAGGGAAACCUGGAUUAAUACCGGAUGUGGUCUCCGGAUCAAAGGUUUACUGCCUCGGGAGCGGGGAACGUCCUAUCAGGUUGUUGGUGAGGUAACGGCUCACCAAGCCGAAGACGGGUAGCGGGCGUGAGAGCGUGACCCGCCGCAUCGGGACUGAGACACUGCCCGGACUCCUACGGGAGGCUGCAGUAACGAAUCUUCCGCAAUGCGCGAAAGCGUGACGGAGCAAUGCCGCGUGCAGGAUGAAGCUUCUCGGAGUGUAAACUGCUGUCAGGGUUUAGGAAGCAAGUGACCAAACCCAAAGGAAGGGCCGGCUAACUUCGUGCCAGCAGCCGCGGUAAUACGAAGGGCCCGAGCGUUAUUCGGAAUCACUGGGCUUAAAGCGUACGUAGGCGGAGAUGCAGGCAUCGAGUGAAAUCCCUCGGCUCAACCGAGGAACUGCUCGGUGAACCGCAUCUCUUGAGACAGGUAGAGGUUGUCGGAACGCUAGGUGGAGUGGUGAAAUGCGUUGAUAUCUAGCGGAACGCCAAAGGAGAAAUCAGGCAACUGGGCCUGUUCUGACGCUGAGGUACGAAAGCGUGGGGAGCGAACGGGAUUAGAUACCCCGGUAGUCCACGCCGUAAACGAUGUGCACUAGGUCGUGGGGGUACUGACGCCGCCCCUCGCCGAAGCGAAAGUGUUAAGUGCACCGCCUGGGGAGUACGGUCGCAAGGC